rnacentral:rRNA from 1 species
AGAGUUUGAUCAUGGCUCAGAUUGAACGCUGGCGGCAGGCUUAACACAUGCAAGUCGAGCGGUAACAGGAGAGAGCUUGCUUUCUCGCUGACGAGCGGCGGACGGGUGAGUAAUGCCUGGGAAAUUGCCCUGAUGUGGGGGAUAACCAUUGGAAACGAUGGCUAAUACCGCAUAGAAGCUACGGCUUAAAGAGGGGGACCUUCGGGCCUCUCGCGUCAGGAUAUGCCCAGGUGGGAUUAGCUAGUUGGUGGGGUAAAGGCUCACCAAGGCAACGAUCUCUAGCUGGUCUGAGAGGAUGAUCAGCCACACUGGAACUGAGACACGGUCCAGACUCCUACGGGAGGCAGCAGUGGGGAAUAUUGCACAAUGGGCGCAAGCCUGAUGCAGCCAUGCCGCGUGUAUGAAGAAGGCCUUCGGGUUGUAAAGUACUUUCAGUGGUGAGGAAGGUUAUGUAUUUAAUAGAUGCGUAGCUUGACGUUAGCCACAGAAGAAGCACCGGCUAACUCCGUGCCAGCAGCCGCGGUAAUACGGAGGGUGCGAGCGUUAAUCGGAAUUACUGGGCGUAAAGCGCAUGCAGGUGGUCUGUUAAGUCAGAUGUGAAAGCCCGGGGCUUAACCUCGGAAUAGCAUUUGAAACUGUCAGACUAGAGUACUGUAGAGGGGGGUAGAAUUUCAGGUGUAGCGGUGAAAUGCGUAGAGAUCUGAAGGAAUACCGGUGGCGAAGGCGGCCCCCUGGACAGAUACUGACACUCAGAUGCAAAAGCGUGGGGAGCAAACAGGAUUAGAUACCCUGGUAGUCCACGCCGUAAACGAUGUCUACUUGGAGGUUGUGGCCUUGAGCCGUGGCUUUCGGAGCUAACGCGUUAAGUAGACCGCCUGGGGAGUACGGUCGCAAGAUUAAAACUCAAAUGAAUUGACGGGGGCCCGCACAAGCGGUGGAGCAUGUGGUUUAAUUCGAUGCAACGCGAAGAACCUACCUACUCUUGACAUCUACAGAAGCUUGCGGAGACGCGAGUGUGCCUUCGGGAACUGUAAGACAGGUGCUGCAUGGCUGUCGUCAGCUCGUGUUGUGAAAUGUUGGGUUAAGUCCCGCAACGAGCGCAACCCUUAUCCUUGUUUGCCAGCACGUAAUGGUGGGAACUCCAGGGAGACUGCCGGUGAUAAACCGGAGGAAGGUGGGGACGACGUCAAGUCAUCAUGGCCCUUACGAGUAGGGCUACACACGUGCUACAA